CCUACGGGCGGCUGCAGUGGGGAAUAUUGCACAAUGGGGGAAACCCUGAUGCAGCGACGCCGCGUGAGUGAAGAAGUAACUCGUUAUGUAAAGCUCUAUCAGCAGGGAAGAAAAUGACGGUACCUGAGUAAGAAUCACCGUCUAAGUACGUGCCAGCAGCCGUGGUAAGACGUCGGGGGCAAGCGUUAUCCGGAUUUACUGGGUGUAAAGGGAGCGUAGACGGCAGUGCAAGUCUGGAGUGAAAGGCGGGGGCUCAACCCCCGGACUGCUCGGGAAACUGUAAGGCUGGAGUGCAGGAGAGGUAAGUGGAAUUGCUAGUGUAGCGGUGAAAUGCGUAGAUAUUAGGAGGAACACCAGUGGCGAAGGCGGCUUACUGGACUGUAACUGACGUUGAGGCUCGAAAGCGUGGGGAGCAAACAGGAUUAGAUACCCUUGUAGUC
rnacentral:rRNA from 1 species